rnacentral:lncRNA from 1 species
AGGACCGGUCAACUUGUUUUCUGUUCUUCAUUUUAUCUACAUCCUGAGGCUCGAUCACUUCAGCAGCCUUCUCAUCAUCAGUAGCUUUCACUUCAGUAUUCGCUUUCGCAUCUACUCUCUCUUCACAGUCUGAUGAUGAUGAAGUAGGUGAUUUAGAUGCUGAAUGCUGACCUUGCAAAGCUUCAGAGUAUUCGGGGUCUAGUCGCUCAUCCUGAGUAGUUAGGGCUAGAUCAGUUUUAUCUUUUUGUUCCAUAUUUGCAGCUGGAGUUUGACCAUUCUCCAUUGGUGGAACUGCAGCAGUGGAUGCAGGAGCACAGGUAAAGCCUGUGUGCAGAGGAGCACAUACAGGAAGCAGUCCAUGGGCGGUCCACCAUGCAGUGGCAGCUGCUACUGUUGCAGCAGCAAUUGCGGCCAUACUAGGAGCAGAGUUCGUUUGUGUAGAUGGGAAACCUCUUAGUUCAUUUGCGGGAGAAUCGCCAGAACUUUCAACAUUUGCAUAUGGCCAAAAUGUAGCUGCAAAACUUGCUGCAGCAUGAGCAGCUGGAUUCUGUAACAAAGUAGAUACAAUGAGAUUGGAAAAAGUGGAGGAGACAUGUAGAAAUGAUCGAUACUCCUCUUGAUCGGGCCGAAGAUGUAUAAAGGGAAUAUGAAAAGGUGGCAAUGCCUGAUGAGUAGAUUUUGGUGCAUUAUUCUGAUGUUCAGUAGUUGCCGAUGCAGCUGGAUUUGCAAACAGAUUAGGUCCAUGAACAUCGCCCAUAGGGUGAAAUACAGAAUCUUGAAAUGACAUACCCAGGGAAGGAUUUUGAACACAUGUUCUAAGGCUUCCAUCUAGGACAUGCACAGCAACAUGCCGAGGAUAAUUUUGAGCAGCUUGCAUCUCAUCUGCACAAAAAGCACCAUCCAAAUCAUCUUUUCUCUGGCCUUGAGCUGAUUUCUCAUAUGAAGUGCAAGACUUCUCCAAGUUUGAAGCCUUACUUGUACCAUUAUCAUGAAAUAUCUGUUGGACAUUAAAUUUAUAAGGUUCACAAAUUUCUUUAAGUUCAAGAAUAACAUAGAAUUCAUGUUUUUCAUGAUUUACUACCUCUUUUGGCAAAGGUACAAACUCCCUGAAUGUACAAGAGCUUUUGAGUGCUGCUGACAUUGGUAUAAAAUUCUUAUUCAUGGAAGACGCAGAGGAGCAGUUUUGUUCGUGGAGAAGGGUAAAAACCUCAGAGCAACUCUCGUCUUGAUUUUCUUUCAGAUUUGUAGCCUUUUCAUCUCCAGUAGGUCUCUGACAAACACAAUAUAUUUGAAGCUUACGUUAAAAAGAAGAAAAGAAAAAGAACAUAAUUAAGAGCAUGAAUAAAGUAGUUGAGGAGGAGAAAGAAACCUCUGGAAGUGGUUCUUUCUCCAAGUCCAACAUUUGCUUGCAAUGCAAAGAAGAUAAUGGCAUUUCAGAUUUUCCAUCCUUAGCUCCCUCUUGUACUGUAGUAGCAGCACUGGUUUUUCGAGGAUAAGGAUUGCUUGGUUUUCUUUUAGGGCGUGGAGGUGGAAUCUCUAUGUCAAGAGCUUGACCUAUUGGUACACCUUUAGCAAGUGCCUCCUUCUCCAACUGAGAAUGGAUUAUUGUCAGUAGCAUCAAUAAAAUGAAAAUACAUAAGAGAAAUCUUACGAGUUUUUGGAGGCACCAAUGAAGCAUCAAUAUAAUAUUAACAACGUGCAACACUAAAAUUAAUGAUAGGAAUGACAUAACUAAAUGCAACAUGAUCAUAUCUAACCAGUAUAAUUCCAAAUCUUAUCAGGAAACAAGAAGUCCAAGUAUAUAAUUGCUCUACAAUCUACAAAUAUCUCACAAAGGAGGUUCAUACAAAAUUUUAUACUCCUGUUGUCAAUUAAUAUGGCCUGUUUUAUAACAUUAGAUUAGAUUAGAUUCUUCUUUUAUCCUUUCAUCCCAUCACAUGUCUGCUCAAGACUCGUCAGCAAUAUAAUACUUGAAUGUAGCAGACAUAAACACAGCCCACGGUUGAACAUAUACAUAGACAAAGAUUGACUAAAUAAAAAAAGGGGGGCUGGUUUAGCCGAGCAAUCAGUUUUGCUCGGCUAAACCAACCCCCCAUUUUACUAGGAGAAGAGAGGAUUAGCUGUAUUUAGAUGAAAAGAAAAUUACCAGUGGUUUCUUAAGAAACACAGUUUAGGUACUGCAUAAAUAAGAUUAAUCAAACCAUCCAUGAUGUUCAUUGUCAUGUAAAAUUGAGAUCAUUAAAGGUUAGGACUUCAGACUGAAGAAAGUAUUUCAUAAAGCUUUAACCAUAAUAUUCUUGAACAACCUUCAUCUGCUUACUGUCCUGAUAAGAUUCAUCACUCACGAGCUAAUCGAGAUAAAAAUGUUAUGCAUGAAUUUGUUUGCGACAUCAGAAAUAUGAAAAGGAAAAAAAGAAGGAAGUAAUGCAUUACCAUGUACCUAACUUUAACAUAAUUGGCAGGUGACUGCCGAUAACCUGCAGGAAAUAAGUCUUUAAGAGAAGAAUCCAGUAAAAUCUUACUUUUACUGAAGAUGUAUACACUUAAGGAGGAUAAUCGCUUAAGACAGACCUAUAGGAUGCAUACCUCAAAUCUAACAUCAUAAUUAGCUACAAGGCACAUCUAACAGACAUGCUGCUGUGAGCUUGGCUGCAAAACUUAAGGUACUAUGGGGAAGAUUGAUCCCAGUAUGAUCACCUAGAAGGUAUAAUAUAGUUUCAAUUAGGACUUAUCUUUCUGAUUAAAAGAAAAAUAUGCAGAUCAGAAUGUUAUGUUCCACAUUACCAGGAAAGGAUAUUAGUUGUAUCAUAAAUGACAACAUCUAUAUAGAAGGUAUGAUCCUUAAGCAUAAAUGAGUACCUAUCUUGCAUUUCAAGCUCUCCCAAUUCCCAGAAAUGGAAGAAAGAAAAAUAAAAUUCAUUUUUUAGAUCUAACGAGCAUCUGGCUCACACCAGCAAUAUGGCUAAUGUUUAAAGAGAUUUCUCAUCAGUAAUCUAAAGUUCUAAACACAUCAACAAAGUCUAGAAUUCAACAAAUUCGUGUCAUCCCUGCUAGUACUACUACUCAUCAUAUCCACUCUAAUGUUAGAUAAGAUCAUUUGGUAUUAUGAGAUCAACAUCUUCAACAGCCAUAAACUAAGUAGAUAUAAGCCCUAAACUUCCACCACAUAAAGGAGAUUAUAAGCCCUAAACUUCCACCACAUAAAGGAGAUAAUAAAAAGUAGGUAAUAAAAUGCAAAAAAGAUAUAAGCCCUUGAAAUAUUGUCUUGAAAGGAUGUGAAACUUGCCACUAUAAAAGCUUUUAACAAAAAAAUGAUCCUAAAAUCAAAAGCUAGAAGCUAUCAAAUUUACUCUAACUGCAGAUUCAUUGUCAACCUUGGAUGCUGAUGAAUUGAACUAUUAGCAACCUUGAGAUACUCUACACAUUAAGGAUACAGUAAGCGGUAAUCCUAACUUGCAAUGACUAGCAUACUGCCCAUGGAUGCUGAAGAUUUCAGUUUAAACCAGAACCAAAAUCUAGGCAUAUAAUAUAGCAACGAAGAACAUGAUAGGUGGGCUCACCCCAAAUUCACUUCCUAGUUCUAUACCUCAUAAUGGUGUAUUUUUACUUUGUAUACAAACUCACUUCUUAGUUCUUACUAUACCUCAUAAUGGUGUGUUUUCACUCUCUAUACAAAUUUAGACUACAUGUAUCUACAUGACCCUUUUAUCCGAAGAAACCAAAUAUAUUAACUUUCAAAACCUCUGCUGCGGUAGGUUAAGUACUAAAUUGCUUCAGCAAGUUCAAAAGUGACCAGACAAGAGGAUGCCUUGCACAUAAAAGGUUAGUGAAAGGCAUAUUAGAAAGAAACCUUUUAUGACAACUUAAAAAACCAAAAAUGCCCUUUUUUAUUUCGGACUCCAAGGAUGAUAAACCAUCUUGCGCAGCCAAUUUCAUACAGAGACCAAAUAAAUAGAAUUCAAAUAGCUUACAUCUCCAAAAUCAAAUUUGUAGAGAAGAUAAAAGGCUAUCACCCUAAAUAUGGUUUAAAUAUUUAGCAGCUCAGAUUCUCAUUUAACUCAAGUUGCUGCCUUUUCUAUAUAUAUUAAUAAACAAACUCCAGUGUACUUCUUUACAUAAUUGGUUAUAAUUUUGAUCGGUGAUAUAUGAUUGAUGUUUUUGACACAGAAAGCUAUACAUUCGCUUCAUAUAUUUUCUUUGUUGUUUUAAAUCUAACAAAUUUGUUUAUACAAGAGAGAAAAUGAAGUAAUAGAAUAAUCAGUAAGAUUUCCCAACCGUUCAAGAUAGUACAGUUGACGAUUCGAUAUUUCAUAUUUCUCAAGCAGAAACAAGAAUUAAGCAGCAGAAAAAAAAAUACAUUGAACAUAGGCAUAAGCAUAAACAAGAAGGCACCAAAUGACCUUUGAAAAGAACUUUUGAGCAUGACUCCUGAUCUGCACAGCCGUCUUUGUUCCUAUAUAUUCUGCAAAUCACCAUGUAAAAACAAAAUGGAAAGAAAAUUACAACAAUAAAUAACAAAACUAUUCUUUUGUUGGUCCUAACAAACAUAUCCUACGUAUCUUAGCCUCAAUCCACAAAAACACUAGCUCUAAAAUGAUAGCAGCAAAAUCUAAACUAAGAGGGAAAAAGCAAGUGAAAAAACCUUCAAUGCGUUGCCAAGCUCGUCCAUAGAGCUUCAAGGCCUCUAGGAACCUAUUAUGCUCUUCCUCGGUCCAUCUUUCACGUUGUUUCGUAAUAGUAUAAGGCUUCCUAGUCUAUCAUUUAACAUACAAAAUUCAAUGGUCCAAAUUAUAACAAACAGAAACCCCCAUUUUUUUACAAAGCUUCAUUUAAGAGAAGAGUUUACCUUAAUUACAAGUUCUUCACCAGAGGAGUAUGUGUCCAUUGAAACAGCGUCACCGCUGCUUCAAAUCCUCUCUAGCAAGCAAAGAGUAUAUCACAAACCUCCUUUCAUUUCUUCCAACAUCCAGUACGACAAAUAGUAAUGCCGUUUUUGAGCUCCACAAAACCUGAUGAAUGCUAUUUAAUACUGCAAAAAGAAAAAACACAAAAGAACAACAACAACAAAUCGAUGGAGAUCCGUCUCUGUUUCUAUUUUUAUUCCAAUUAAAUUAAUAUUAAUUUCUCAUCAUUUAAUAAAAAUAUUUACUUGAUAAAAAUUUGGGGUGAAUGCUAAAUCUCUGGAAAAAUUAAAAUAAAAUAAAUAAAAAUUAAGUAUCCACAGUAACAAAGAGAAGAGACGGCUUCUUCCAAAGAACUUAAAAGAAAAUUCUUACCAAAACGAACCGUAGACGCCAAAACCUUUAAUAGAAAAUGAUACGAAAAAAAAAAAAGAAACUUUAAUUAGUUAUCAACAACACACUUCCACUGUUCCACAUCCAAUCUAUCUAUUAACAGCCAAUAAUAGUUCUUUACCUUCUUUUUGGUUGCCGAGAGAAAAAACAAAAGGAUUCAAAUUCAAUCACUUUUCUUUCGUUUCUCUACUCAGCUGCAUAUAAAGAACACAACUUCCAAACUCAGCUUAGCAAAGCCUAUAAGGAAAGCCCUAGAAAUGAAGUGUAAAUACCUUAAAGAGAUAACCAUGGAAGAUGGCAACAAUGGAAGCAACGAUCACGUAUCAAAAAUAGGUUCACCGGAAACCAGCCGGAGAGCUCAUAGUUUCCGGCAAUGACAAGAUCGGAAUCAACAGAAUUGGAAAAAGAAAAGUUGUCUUUUUUGGGAGAAAAGCACUUGAAUAAACCCAAAAAAAAAAGUGAAAGCAAGCUUAUUUUCUGGUGAUAAACUGAAAAAACACCAGAAACUACAGUAUGGGGAAGAAACAAAAGGAGAAAUCUCAGCCACUACAAUUUCAUGAGGAUUUAUUUUUUGGAAAAUUACAAAAAUUGGGCAGAAAUUUAUUUGAGGCUAUAAAAGAAUGAACGGUAAGAUACAUUAGAUGUUGCCAAGUGGCAAUAAGUUAGUGGCUGAUUCAACUAAAAGCCCACCCUUGCACUUUUUCCCUUAUUUUUUUAUCUUUUUUUCUUUUUGCCCUUCUUGUUUCCUACCUCCAUCUUCAAAUAUCAGCCACAAGCUCCCAAUGGUCUUGGUGUUAAAUUAGUAAAAGCGCCUUUUGGUAUGCCACGUGGUUCCUGCCGUCAACGUUUACGCGAUUCGUUGGCGUGGGUAACCGGUACGUGUCGGUUACAGGGGUAGCUUUGGUGUCAAAAGCCACCGGAUUUGUGACCAUUAGCCACCGUAUGCGGUGAUGAGAUUUUAGGGUUGCAACAAAUCUAGGGAUAUGCUAUGCUCCCCGUUUUCUUCUUUCGAUUUAGUUGCUAAUUUUUUUAGGUUAAAAUUCUCCAUAAAUCCUUGUAUUUUUUUAUAGAUUUGAAAUUUAAUUCCUGUACUUUUAUUUUUAGGCAUUUAGUCAUUUUACUUUUCAUAUUUUUAAAUUCAGGUUUUACGGUAAAUAUUGUUAAAAUUAUUUGUUAAAUUCAGGUUCAUUAUAAUAUCAGUUUUUUAGUUAAGUUGCUACCAAGUGAAUUUUUUUUAUUUCAAUAUGUAUUAUAAACCAAUUUAACAAAAAAAAUUGUAACAAUGUUAACAAUUGAACUUAAAUAAAUUUCAAAUUUACGAAGAGUACAGAAAUAUGACCUAUUUUAACCUUUUUUUAUUAAACUUGUGAGUUACAAUUUAAUUCCUAAAUUUGAAUUUUUUUAAAGUGUAUUGGCAUGUCACUCUAAUAUUAGGUCAUAUUGUCAUUUAAAAAUUUGAAAAACUUUAUAUGAUAUCUAAAGAAUGCAAAAGGUAAAAAUUAAAGAAAUUCAUGUGACGAUGUGAAAUAAUCUCAUAACGUCACAUCAUUAUAUUUUAACAAGAUCUAAGUUAAGAAACUAAAUUGAGAAAAGCUAUCAAGUUUAAAGACUAAAGUGGAUUUAAGGACUAAAUGUUACUUUAUGAUUUUUUUUUCAUUUUAAGAUAAGAGUAAACUAGUUUCUGAACUUCAUUUAAAAAGAUGUAUCAUGUUUUGUAAUUAAUGACACAUUCUAAAACAGCGCCCCUAUUUAUUGUAAUGAUAUAGCAUUAUUCAGUGCCUUGAUGUCCUCCGCUAAUGGUUGGAGCCUCCAAUCGAUGGAACUUACAUCCUGCUCAAAACUCUUGCAUAAAGCUUUCAUGUUAGGUGCAGAGAUACCAAUAGUCAAUCCAAACCUCUUUGCCUCAAUCAUUGCUUCUCUUGUUACGAAUAAAAUAGCUUGCUUAGUGCUAACAAAGUGCUACAAGAACUUGUAAAUUUGAUUCCUUGAAUAUUAAAGAUUGUUAGAGACACCCCGAGGCAGAUGGUCCCUUUCUUCCAAGCUACCAAAGCAAUUCCCGAUAUGGUACCAUGAGGAACAUUCGAUCUACUUGAUUUGCUCUGUUGUACUUGGGAAUAUCUCUCCGCAGCAUUCUUCCAUUUCUUGCCCUCAAACACCUGUAUCCAUAGUCCUUGAAGAUUUCAAACUUUGUUGAUUACGUUUAAGGAUUAGCAUCAUAACCUUUAAAAUAGCAUUUAUUUUUAUGAAUCCGUAUAUUUCAUAACUUGAUACGUAUUAUUCAUUAAUAAAAUAAAGAAAUUGAUGUUGAUGCUUUUCCUCCUUAGUAUAACAUACAAGAUAAAACUCCGAAUAUCACAAUUGUUAACUUGAGUCCACUUGAAACCCAAAAUCAAUCCCAACCAAACUAAGAAGAGAUGAUCAUAGGAUUCCAUAUGUUAGAAUAAUUAAUGGUUUUGAUACAACUUGCAGCUUUUGUGGCUACCUAUUUCCUCUUUUAAAGGCAAAACUUUGACAUAUAUUUUUUAUAGAAAUAGUUAAUUCAAAAGGUUAAUAAUUAAGAUAAAAUAUCAUUUUGAUAUUUUUAAAAUUCUUUUUAAUUAUUUUAAAAAUUACUUAAAAAUUAUUAAAAUUUUAACCUAAUCCUUUAAACCGGAGCUUUUGGGUUUUACCCAAUUCUUUGAAACUUAAUCCUUUGCUGUUUUUCUUAUUCUUUUUAAUUCACAUCUGUAAUACCAGACUGUUGCCAAUGAUUAAAAUAUAAAAACAACUCAAAAUUAGAACAGUUAUUUUUAUAAUAAAAUUAUUAAAAUAUAAAAAUAACUCAAUAUUGAAUCAGUUUUUUUUCAAUUUAACAGAAAUUAUAAGAAAAAAAGCUGGGUUUUAAUUAAGAGAACCCAAAACCCCAAUCUUUAAAUUCUCUGAUUUAAUCAAACUAGCAAAAGUUUAAAAAAAAAAAAAACGACAGUUAGACUACAAGGGAAAAAUCAAAAGAGACAAAAAAAUCUUUUCAUUCUUUUAAUGAUUUUUAUAAUUUUUAAUUAUUUUUAAGAUUUUUUAAAAGAUUUAUUGUUAAUUUUUUUGAAAAAUAUCAAAAUAAUAUUUUUAACUAUAAUUUAAUAAUUAAAUUAAUUGUUAAUCAUUUGAAUUAAGUAUCAUGUCGUUCACUUAACGGAAAUUAACGGACAAAUUAUUAAAAUGUAAUAUUUAAAUAACAUUAAUAAUCAUUUCGUACCCUCUAAAAGUUCAUUCAUUCAAUUAAAUAAAAUCGAAUAUUCAAUCGUUACACAUAUUACUUCUACUAGAGCCAUUGAAUAAACCAAAAACGGUUCUUAAUUUGUCUACAAAGUCAACACUCUGUCCUAUACACUCACAUGAAUAAAAUUUCAAUUCGGUCAGCCCCUUAAUUAUUAGAUUUAUUCAUGUUAUGCUAAUUAUUCAAUACCAUCCAAUUCAUGCAUUAAUUUGCCUUAAUUAUCCUAAAUUAACAUAGUUAGCAAUUAAUCAAGAGGGAAAACAGUUCAUUUGAGUACUACUAAAUAAUUUCCAUCCAAUAAUGAAAUCUAGCCCUUGAUAUAAUUACACUCAAAUCCCUCUUAACUUUUAUUACUUUUUAGUAGUCCCCACCAAUUCACAUUUGAAUCCCUCCACUUCAAGCAUUUAUUUACUAGAUAACCCCCACUUCAGUUUUCCUACUAUUUUCUCUUAAAUUACACCAUCUCAAUUUACUUAUUUCAGCAUAAAUAUUUAAGUUCACUGUUUAUCUCGAAAUUUACUAUCCGGAUGAUAUCAUUCCGUGGUCUAAAUUUUGAACAGUUUAAAUAUUAUAAAUUAAAAAAAAUCUGUAUAAAUUUUGAUAUUAAAUAAAUUGGUCCUCUAAAAAAAUCAAAUCGGUUUAAUCCCUGACAAGUUUGAAAAUAAACGCCUAAGACAAUUAAUCACACUAUAAUUAUUUUUCACAAUAUAUAUAAUUUUUUAUUAGUAUAAUAAUAAAUUUAACUCACGACAUUUAUAUAUUCUGUCAAUCCAAUUUUGAUGUAACAAAUUUAAUCCACAAAUUUUUCACAUAAUCAACAUUUAUUUAAAUUUAUUAUUAUACUAAUAAAAAUUAUAUAUAAUUGACCAAAAAGCAUCACUAUUAUAAUCAAUUAUCAUUAGUUGCUUUUGAAAAUCUACAAACAUCAAUUACUCCAAUUUUGAGAGAAAUUUAAAACCGACUGGAAUCACCAAAAACAAACGUGACUACCAAAAAUCCAGAGAAAACAUCCACGGUAGAUCAACUAUAUGCUAGGGAAUUAAUAUCAAAAAAGUUAUAUGGUAGAGAAGAUGUCGGUACCAUUUGUAUUUUUGUCUUCAAAAUCUUGAAAAAUAUUUUUGGGAAAUAUGUUUUCCUGAACUAAAAUAACUUGGAAAAUAUUUAGUGCAUUGGUAAUUUUUUAAAAUUAUUUUUGGAAUAAAAAAGUACAUGGUGAAUGUAUUAUAUACUAACCCAAAUAAAUUUUAGUUAAAAAUGAUGAUAAACUAAUUUUUAAUAAAAGUAAUAUUAAGUCCUAAACAAUUAAAUACAUCAAAAGUAACAUUUUUAUUGUAUAUAAAAGCGAAAAAAUAUAUACAAAACAUAAAAAAAUAACAAAAAACCACAAUACAAAAACAAAAACAAUGAGUCAAAUGAUAACUAAACACCAAAGCAAACAGACAAGGCUUGGAAGAAAAAAAAAGAGAGUAAAUAUACUUUUUGGUUCUCUUCUGAAUUUAAUGUUUAAAUUGGUACCUGUUAAGGGGUCAGCUCCUUAGGGCAGCCAAUUCGAACUCUCAACAAUCGAUAGUAUCGUACUGAUAUUAAGGUUUUGUCCCCAACCUCCAAGGAGAGUCGUGUACAGCUCAGUAGGGAAGUACCUUAGUUGAUAGAAAUAGGCACUUGCAAAACUCGAAAAAAAUGUCAAUAUAAGGUGUGUAAAUAAUAAAGAAGGUACUUGGGCACCGCAAAAUUCAAGACACCAAGAUACCUCCAUUAUUAUUCACACACCCUAUAAUCUCUUUUCUCCCAAAUCUUGCAACCAACUAAAUUACCCCUUUAAUGAAUCGUACAUUGCUCUCCACAAAAGCUAGGGACAAAACUUCAAUACAAGGAUAAAACCAUCAGUUGUUGAGGGACCGGAUCAACUGCCCGACCAACCACACUUCAAAUACUUCUACUAAAAGAGCCAAUCCCCCAUCAAUAGUACUUUUUUUUUUGGUUCAGACUAUACUCAAAUUUGAUUUCAUCACAUCGUUAAUCUUGAAUGACAUGGACCAAUCAGAUUUAAACACACGGGACACAUCAUGUCAUCAACUGAUGUACCACGUGUAAUAAAUUGAUUGGACCACAUAAUCCAAUUUUAAAAGAGCUACAAAAAAUUGACUAAAACCUGUAAGAAAAGCCAAAUUCAAGUAACAAUUCGGACAAAUAUGUUACAUAUGUACCAAUUUGAACAUCGAAACCAAAUUCAGGUAUCAAAAAAUAUAUCUACCCAGAAAAAACGAAGCAUAAAAACAGUUAAACUAUGAAUCAGUGGGGCAAUCUGUUUAAAUUGCCUUUUCAUUGCAUAAAAAAGGUUUCAGCUUCAGCUAGAGUUCACUAAGCAAAAGGUAGAAGAAUAAUGAUAAAGAAAGGCAUUCAGAUUCAGUACUUACUUUAAAUGCUUCCAUCUCAGAGGGAGUUUUUUAACUGCAGUUGCAAGGAUAAAAAAGUCCAGGAAAGCGAAUAAGUCAAUGUAGAUAUUAGAUAGUACACAACACCACCUACACGAAAAGUCUCGUGAGCUGCAAUCGAAUAAAAGUCUUUUAAGAUCAACAAAUGAAAAGGAAAUAAGAUAUGGGGGAAGAACAUUAGAGAUUGCAUUCAACAAACAAACUUUGCCCUUGUUAAUUGUAUGCAAUUGUGUAAAAGUCAAGUUGAAGCUUCCCCUUCCAAGCGUACCCUCUUGGGACCUUUCUCUUCACCUUGACUGCCGGUGUUCAUCACUCUGUUUUCUUUGGCUUCCACAGAACACCUUUUGUAAGGUUUAAAUCCAGUUCGGCCAGCUUUUAGUUUUGAAUGUCCUAAUCCAAUAGUCAGCAGGCCCUCUUCUGUAGUGUUCUUGUCUCUUGAUAAUGCAUUUUUCACAGUUACUUGAUGAUCAGAACAAGAACCCAAUGUCUUGCUGUUGAGAUCUAAAGUUGAUAUUUCUUCAUCUUCCUCAGCUGGAUUUUGCUUGUCUUCACCUAUAUUUUCCUUUUGCUGCCCCUUGCUCUUGCCAUCAUGUGGAGGAGAAAAGCUUUGCGGGAGUACCUCUCGGGAGAAGAGGGCUUGAAAAGCUAGCCGCCCCUGGAUAAGUAGUGGAGCCAUACAGUGACAAUGGUACAAUACAAUUAGAAUAAUAAUUAAAGUUAAGCUAAUGGGAAAAUUGAGAUAUCGACUCACCUCUUCAGAUACCUCCUUCCAAGAAUCACUCAGGUUGCUAUUGCUUCUACUACUACGACGGCUACAUUCAACUUGUGGAUGAUUUGGGUCAGCUCCUUUUGAAUCUUCCUUGUCUUUUUCAUGUUUUUCUAACGCAUCUGUCUCUACCUCACUGCUUGAAGGAGUGUUGGAGCCACAUGAGGACCGGUCAACUUGUUUUUUGUUCUUUGUUUUAUUUGCAUCCUGAGGCUCAAUUACUUCAGCAGCCAUCUCAUCAUCGGUAGCUUUCACUCCAGUAUUCACUUUUGCAUCUCCUCUCUCUUCACAGUCCGAUGAUGAUGAAGUAGGUGAUUUAGAUGAUGAAUGCUGACCUUGCAAAGCUUCAGAGUUUUCGGGGUCUAGUUGCUCAACCUGCAGAGAUAGAGCUUGAUCAGUUUUACCCUUUUGUUCUGUCUUGGCAGCUGGAGGUUGACCAUUCUCCAUUGGUGGAACUGCAGCAGUGGAUGCAGGAAAACAGGUAAAGCCUGUAUGCAGAGGAGCACAUACAGGAAACAGUCCAUGGGCGGCCCACCAUGCAGUUGCAGCUGCUACAGUUGCAGCAGCAAUUGCAGCCAUACUUGGAGCAGAGUUGAUUUGUCUAGAUGGGAAACCUCCUAAGCCGCAUGCAGGAGAAUCGCCAGAGCUUUCAAUAUUCGCAUAAGGCCAAAAUCUUGCUGCAAAGCUUGCUGCAGCAUGGGCAGCUGGAUUCUGUAACAAUGUAGAUACAAUGAGACUGGAAAAAGUGGAGGAGACAUGUAGAAAUGAUCGAUAGUCCUGUUGAUUUGGGCGAAG